UGAGGAAUUUUGCGCAAUGGGGGAAACCCUGACGCAGCGACGCCGUGUGCGGGACGAAGGAGCUUUGCUCUGUAAACCGCUGUCGGGAGGGACUAAAAGCCUGUUAGACAGGCUGGGACCGUACCUCCAAAGGAAGGACCGGCUAACUACGUGCCAGCAGCCGCGGUAAUACGUAGGGUCCAAGCGUUGUCCGGAUUUACUGGGUGUAAAGGGUGCGUAGGCGGACUUGUGCGUCAGAGGUUAAAGACCCCGGCUUAACCGGGGAAGUGCCUUUGAUACGGCGAGUCUUGAGUAUAGAUGAGGAUGAUAGAAUUCCUGGUGUAGCGGUGAAAUGCGUAGAUAUCAGGAGGAAUACCGAAGGCGAAGGCAGUCAUCUAAUCUAUUACUGACGCUGAGGCAC
rnacentral:rRNA from 1 species